CAGCAGGCGCGAAAACUCUACAAUGCAGGCAACUGCGAUAGGGGAACAUCGAGUGAUCCUCAUAUUGGGGGUCUGUCCCACCGUCUAAAAAACGGUGGUUAGCAAGGGCCGGGCAAGACCGGUGCCAGCCGCCGCGGUAAUACCGGCGGCUCGAGUGGUGGCCGAUAUUAUUGAGUCUAAAGGGUCCGUAGCCGGCUUUGCAAGUCUCUCGGGAAAUCCAGCGGCUUAACCGUUGGUCGUCCGGGGGGUACUACAUUGCUUGGGACUGGGAGAGGUAGGAGGUACUCAGGGGGUAGGAGUGAAAUCCUGUAAUCCUCUGGGGACCACCGGUGGCGAAGGCGUCCUACCAGAACAGGUCCGACGGUGAGGGACGAAAGCUAGGGGCACGAACCGGAUUAGAUACCCGGGUAGUCCUAGCCGUAAACGAUGCUCGCUAGGUGUCACAACAGUCGUGAACUGUUGUGGUGCCGUAGGGAAGCCGUGAAGCGAGCCACUUGGGAAGUACGACCGCAAGGUUGAAGCUUAAAGGAAUCGGCGGGG
rnacentral:rRNA from 1 species